rnacentral:rRNA from 1 species
GACGAACGCUGGCGGCGUGCUUAACACAUGCAAGUCGAACGAAGAGCGAUGGACGCUUGCUUCUAUCAAUCUUAGUGGCGAACGGGUGAGUCACGCGUAAUCAACCUGCCCUUCAGAGGGGGACAACAGUGGGAAACGACUGCUAAUACCGCAUACGAUCCAAUCUCGGCAUCGGGACUGGAUGAAAGGUGGUCUCUAUUUAUAAGCUAUCACCGAAGGAGGGGAUUGCGUCUGCUUAGGUAGUUGGUGGGGUAACGGCCUACCAAGGCGAUGAUCGGUAGCCGGUCUGAAAGGAGGGACCGCCAAAUUGGUACUGGGACACGGCCCAGACUCCUGAGGGAGGCAGCAGUGGGGAAUCUUCCGCAAUGGACGCAAGUCUGACUGGGGAACGCCGGGUGAGUGCAGGAGGCCUUCGGGUUGUAAAGCUCUGUUAAUCGGGACGAAUGGUUUUUGUGCGAAUAGUGCGAGGACUUGACGGUACCGGAAGAGAAAGCCACGGCUAACUACGUG